rnacentral:rRNA from 1 species
ACGGGGCUAAACCAUGCACCGAAGCUGCGGCAGCGACACUGUGUGUUGUUGGGUAGGGGAGCGUUCUGUAAGCCUGUGAAGGUGUGCUGUGAGGCAUGCUGGAGGUAUCAGAAGUGCGAAUGCUGACAUAAGUAACGAUAAAGCGGGUGAAAAGCCCGCUCGCCGGAAGACCAAGGGUUCCUGUCCAACGUUAAUCGGGGCAGGGUGAGUCGACCCCUAAGGCGAGGCCGAAAGGCGUAGUCGAUGGGAAACAGGUUAAUAUUCCUGUACUUGGUGUUACUGCGAAGGGGGGACGGAGAAGGCUAUGUUGGCCGGGCGACGGUUGUCCCGGUUUAAGCGUGUAGGCUGGUUUUCCAGGCAAAUCCGGAAAAUCAAGGCUGAGGCGUGAUGACGAGGCACUACGGUGCUGAAGCAACAAAUGCCCUGCUUCCAGGAAAAGCCUCUAAGCAUCAGGUAACAUCAAAUCGUACCCCAAACCGACACAGGUGGUCAGGUAGAGAAUACCAAGGCGCUUGAGAGAACUCGGGUGAAGGAACUAGGCAAAAUGGUGCCGUAACUUCGGGAGAAGGCACGCUGAUAUGUAGGUGAAGUCCCUCGCGGAUGGAGCUGAAAUCAGUCGAAGAUACCAGCUGGCUGCAACUGUUUAUUAAAAACACAGCACUGUGCAAACACGAAAGUGGACGUAUACGGUGUGACGCCUGCCCGGUGCCGGAAGGUUAAUUGAUGGGGUCAGCGCAAGCGAAGCUCUUGAUCGAAGCCCCGGUAAACGGCGGCCGUAACUAUAACGGUCCUAAGGUAGCGAAAUUCCUUGUCGGGUAAGUUCCGACCUGCACGAAUGGCGUAAUGAUGGCCAGGCUGUCUCCACCCGAGACUCAGUGAAAUUGAACUCGCUGUGAAGAUGCAGUGUACCCGCGGCAAGACGGAAAGACCCCGUGAACCUUUACUAUAGCUUGACACUGAACAUUGAGCCUUGAUGUGUAGGAUAGGUGGGAGGCUUUGAAGUGUGGACGCCAGUCUGCAUGGAGCCGACCUUGAAAUACCACCCUUUAAUGUUUGAUGUUCUAACGUGGACCCGUGAUCCGGGUUGCGGACAGUGUCUGGUGGGUAGUUUGACUGGGGCGGUCUCCUCCUAAAGAGUAACGGAGGAGCACGAAGGUUGGCUAAUCCUGGUCGGACAUCAGGAGGUUAGUGCAAUGGCAUAAGCCAGCUUGACUGCGAGCGUGACGGCGCGAGCAGGUGCGAAAGCAGGUCAUAGUGAUCCGGUGGUUCUGAAUGGAAGGGCCAUCGCUCAACGGAUAAAAGGUACUCCGGGGAUAACAGGCUGAUACCGCCCAAGAGUUCAUAUCGACGGCGGUGUUUGGCACCUCGAUGUCGGCUCAUCACAUCCUGGGGCUGAAGUAGGUCCCAAGGGUAUGGCUGUUCGCCAUUUAAAGUGGUACGCGAGCUGGGUUUAGAACGUCGUGAGACAGUUCGGUCCCUAUCUGCCGUGGGCGCUGGAGAACUGAGGGGGGCUGCUCCUAGUACGAGAGGACCGGAGUGGACGCAUCACUGGUGUUCGGGUUGUCAUGCCAAUGGCACUGCCCGGUAGCUAAAUGCGGAAGAGAUAAGUGCUGAAAGCAUCUAAGCACGAAACUUGCCCCGAGAUGAGUUCUCCCUGACCCUUUAAGGGUCCUGAAGGAACGUUGAAGACGACGACGUUGAUAGGCCGGGUGUGUAAGCGCAGCGAUGCGUUGAGCUAACCGGUACUAAUGAACCGUGAGGCUUAACCUUACAACGCCGAAGGUGUUU